UACGUAGGGGGCAAGCGUUGUCCGGAUUUAUUGGGCGUAAAGAGCGUGUAGGCGGCUUGGUAGGUCUCGCGUCAAAACCUGAGGCUCAACCUCAGUUCGCGUGGGAAACCACCUAGCUAGAGUCCGGAAGAGGAGAACGGAAUUCCCAGUGUAGCGGUGAAAUGCGCAGAUAUUGGGAAGAACACCAGUGGCGAAGGCGGCGACCUGGGCCAAUAUUGACGCUGAGGUGCGAAAGCGUGGGGAGCAAACAGG
rnacentral:rRNA from 1 species